rnacentral:rRNA from 1 species
AUUGAACGCUGGCGGCAGGCCUAACACAUGCAAGUCGAACGGUAACAGGAAGCAGCUUGCUGCUUUGCUGACGAGUGGCGGACGGGUGAGUAAUGUCUGGGAAACUGCCUGAUGGAGGGGGAUAACUACUGGAAACGGUAGCUAAUACCGCAUAACGUCGCCAGACCAAAGAGGGGGACCUUAGGGCCUCUUGCCAUCGGAUGUGCCCAGAUGGGAUUAGCUAGUAGGUGGGGUAACGGCUCACCUAGGCGACGAUCCCUAGCUGGUCUGAGAGGAUGACCAGCCACACGGGAACUGAGACACGGUCCAGGCUCCUACGGGAGGCAGCAGUGGGGAAUAUUGCACAAUGGGCGCGAGCCUGAUGCAGCCAUGCCGCGUGUAUGAAGAAGGCCUUCGGUUUGUAAAGUACUUUCAGCGGGGAGGAAGGGAGUAAAGUUAAUACCUUUGCUCAUUGACGUUACCCGCAGAAGAAGCACCGGCUAACUCCGUG